GAGUUUGAUCAUGGCUCAGAGCGAACGCUGGCGGCAGGCCUAACACAUGCAAGUCGAGCGCCCGUAGCAAUACGGGAGCGGCAGACGGGAGAGUAACACGUGGGAACGCGCCCUUCGGUUCGGAAUAACUCAGGGAAACUUGAGCUAAUACCGGAUACGCCCUAACGGGGAAAGAUUUAUCGCCGAAGGAACGGCCCGCGUCGGAUUAGCUAGUUGGUGAGGUAAUGGCUCACCAAGGCAACGAUCCGUAGCUGGUCUAAGAGGAUGAUCAGCCUCACUGGGACUGAGACACGGCCCAGACUCCUACGGGAGGCAGCAGUGGGGAAUAUUGGACAAUGGGCGCAAGCCUGAUCCAGCCAUGCCGCGUGGGUGAUGAAGGCCCUAGGGUUGUAAAGCCCUUUCGGCGGGGAAGAUAAUGACGGUACCCGCAGAAGAAGCCCGGCUAACUUCGUGCCAGCAGCCGCCGU
rnacentral:rRNA from 1 species